UUUCUGCUCCUGAGUAAUUUAGCUUAGAUUACAUGGUAAAUGGUAUAAUAAUAUGUUUGAUUUGUUACAUACACAAAGCUUUUAUGUUAUGUUAUCUCGUUGAUGUUCUUGUUGGUGGAUUAUAAGAAGUAUUAUAUGUCAAAACAUAAUUUUAUGUAAAUAAGAUGGCUGAUGGAAUUGCUUUUUUGGUGUCCAUUGUACAGCUUAUGAUGAGGGUGGUGAUGAUUUGAAUAGAGGAGCUUCUCAUCAACCUUUGACUCAGGACUUCUUCGUAACGUCCUCUGGAAACGGAAAUGGGACGAUUACACUUCUCUAGCUGCUGGAGUUUAUUUACUUAGAUUAACUAAGUGGCACUAUAUACUUUCAGUGGCAAACUUGAGCUUUCAACUAAAUGUUUUCAAGAUUUGCUUCUGAAAGAUCAAAACCAUCUUGCUGCUCUGAUCAACUAUGCUGUUAUCAUCUUAUGCAAAUAUGGAUCUGUCGUUCCAGGUCCAGGAGCUAAUGCAGGAGAAGGGGCUUAUGUAAAAAAAGUUGAAGCUGGAACUGUUGCUAAAGAUUGCUUACUUGCAACGUUGAGAGCUGAUCCUAAAGCUGGCCCAUUAUGGGUGAACCUUGCAAAUGCAUACCAAGUGGUCGGUGAUUAUAGGAAUGCAAAGAAGUGCUUGGAGCAGAACAAAGGACGUGUUAUAGAAGAAAAGAGAAAGAACUAGAUGCUUCAACAACGCUUAGAUGAGCAGGAGUAACAACAACAAAGGAUGUCUGAGUUGAAGUCACAAGUGAAAGCUAUACAAGAACUUUUUUUUAGGCAAUCACCUUCAUUGACUUCUCAAACUCGAGAACAUGUGUAGGACUAGGCUAUCCAUGCAAGAUUAGGAGGGGGUAGCUCGAGUCUU